UACGGAAGGGGCGAGCGUUGUUCGGAAUUAUUGGGCGUAAAGGGCGUGUAGGCGGCUUCAUAUGUCCGUGGUGAAAGCAUACGGCUCAACCGUAUUAAGCCUUGGAAACUGUGGAGCUUGAGGCUGGGAGGGGCUGGUGGAAUUCCCUGUGUAGCGGUGAAAUGCGUAGAGAUGGGGGAGAACACUCGUGGCGAAGGCGGCCAGCUGGACCAGUACUGACGCUGAGACGCGAAAGCGUGGGGAGCAAACAGG
rnacentral:rRNA from 1 species